UCCCACGAGCUAGAGACAGGAUGCA
rnacentral:piRNA from 1 species